rnacentral:other from 1 species
AGUCUCCUGGAAUGUUCGCCAGUUGGUGUCGUCCUUGAGCCGUUAUAGAAACCGAAGGAGACUUCGGCGCUGCAGCCGGUGUGCCAGCCCGUCGUGAGACCUCUCUCGCUCGGGAAGCCUUAGGCGCCGCCCGGGUCACCGCCUUGAACCAGGACGGUUCAGGGCAAUCCAUCAGCGGCAUUAUCGGGAGACUU